GAGCUCACUUUGCCAGUACAGACAUUAAAAUUGGAACAGUACAGGUGAGACGAGCAUGGCCCCUAUGCAAGGAUGACAUGCAAAUUCAUGAAGCAUUCCAUAGUUCC
ensembl:snRNA U6 U6 spliceosomal RNA